UACAGAGGGUGCGAGCGUUGUUCGGAAUUAUUGGGCGUAAAGGGCGCGUAGGCGGUGCGGUAAGCCACCUGUGAAAUCUCCUGGCUCAACUGGGAGCUUGCAGGCGAAACUGCCGUGCUGGAGUGUGGCAGAGGGGGGUGGAAUUCCGCGUGUAGCAGUGAAAUGCGUAGAUAUGCGGAGGAACACCGAUGGCGAAGGCAAUCCCCUGGGCCUGCACUGACGCUCAUGCACGAAAGCGUGGGGAGCAAACAGG
rnacentral:rRNA from 1 species